AUCAACUUUCGAUGGUAGGAUAGAGGCCUACCAUGGUGGUAACGGGUAACGGGGUGUUAGGGCACGACACCGGAGAGGGAGCCUGAGAAACGGCUACCACAUCCAAGGAUGGCAGCAGGCGCGCAAAUUACCCAAUCCCGACACGGGGAGGUAGUGACAAUAAAUAACAAUACGGGGUUCUUUAGGAUCUCGUAAUUGGAAUGAGUACAAUUUAAAUCUCUUAACGAGGAACAAUUGGAGGGCAAGUCUGGUGCCAGCAGCCGCGGUAAUUCCAGCUCCAAUAGCGUAUAUUAAAGUUGUUGCAGUUAAAAAGCUCGUAGUUGAAUUUCGGGGUUAGUAGGUUGGUCAUGCCUCUGGUAUGUACUGGUCUCACUGAUUCCUCCUUCCUUAUGAACCGUAAUGCCAUUAAUUUGGUGUUGCGGGGAAUUUGGACUGUUACUUUGAAAAAAUUAGAGUGUUUAAAGCAAGCUAACGCUUGAAUACAUUAGCAUGGAAUAAUGAAAUAGGACGUUCGAUCUUAUUUUGUUGGUUUCUAGGAUUGACGUAAUGAUUAAUAGGGAUAGUUGGGGGCAUUAGUAUUCAAUUGUCAGAGGUGAAAUUCUUGGAUUUAUUGAAGACUAACUACUGCGAAAGCAUUCGCCAAGGAUGUUUUCAUUAAUCAAGAACGAAAGUUAGGGGAUCGAAGACGAUCAGAUACCGUCGUAGUCUUAACCAUAAACUAUGCCGACUAGGGAUCGGAUGAUGUUAAUUUUUUAAUGACUCAUUCGGCGCCUUACGGGAAACCAAAGUGUUUGGGUUC
rnacentral:rRNA from 1 species